CUGUUUUUAACGCAGCAUGAUCGACGCGCGGACAGUUUCAUCCGAUGCGGAGCUCGCCACGCCGGCAGCGAGCACCAUGCAGAUGCAUUCUGCCCGGCCUCGACGAGAGGUCGACGGGACCUAUAACAGUCAAC
rfam:Pseudomonas agarici strain NCPPB 2472 genome.